CACUAUUUGAAAUAACAUGUUCAUACUGUAUUUUUUUUGCAUCCUGUGAAGUAACGUUAGCGUGGAAUGCGGCAUUUUAACCAGCAACGAACACGGAGAACCAUGUCGGAAGAUCGCGGUCAUUGACCAAAAUCACAAAAAUCAGAUGCUGAUCACACUGCUGUUCAAGAUAUCCAAGGAUUUAUAUCUCAGAACUAGGAGGAAAUUUGAAUGGGAUAUGCCAUUGCAGCUGACCUUGAGAGUUCACUCUCUAUACCUGCAACUCCUCGUCUGAUACUUCUUGGAGAAACGAGAAGCCGCUUCCAGCGCUGGAUGCUCAGCGUUGAGGGCCAAAUUUGCGAAGGGUUCCAGUCCACCUUUGUGACAGGGCUUGCGUCUUUUUUCCUGUUUUCACAUCUUUAACCAAGAGCAGGCAGCCUGCACGCUUGAAUUCAUCCAGAGACACUUUGAGGGUAUAAACCCAGAAAAAGGGACAAAUGCUGCAAAGGGGGAGCAAGCUCAUGGACUUUCAGUGGGAUUUCAUUUGAAAAUGACCCAAGACUUCGCAAAGGAUCCUCAUUAUGUGCUUUGAGAAAAUGGUUAGUGGUCUAAGCAGUGACACUGUUUUUUUAUUUGUUUAUUUUGUUUAUUGUAUUUUAUUGAUGAUGAGUUAAGUAUCAGUUGAAUGUAUUUAUACAUGUUGAAUUUUAGUGGUUUAGGUAACACUAUGUUUUGAGGGUCAGAAAUUUUUAUAAUGAACAAUGUAUUUGGGUGUAAAAUGAAUUUGCUACUUUUUAAGCUACAGUAUGAACAUGAGAAAAUGAGAUUUGAUUGUGAUUAAUCUGAGCCUAUGUGUAACAUUUUUAUAUGACCAGGAGUCAAGAGUGUAUAUCCUUGGUUUGAGUCUUUUUAUUUGAAUCUUAGCAAUUCAUGGAACAUUAAAAAUCGAGGUUUAGGGCCCUAUCUUGCACUGACACAGUGCAAAGCCAAACGCAAGUGUCUCUGCUAGUUUAAGACAGACGCAGUUGUUAUUUUCCAUCCAGCGACCACUGAUGUCAGCAAUGAACAUGAUAUACAAUAUAUUUCUGUGAUUUGUCUGAUUCAUGUGUGCCUACAUUUGUAAGUAUUUACCUUUCAGUGUUUGUAUUACAAUAAAAAAGUAAAUUUCAACACGGACUAUUAGUUUUCUUUUACUUAAGUGUUAUCUGAUGGAUUAUGCCUAUUCUUGUAUUAACUCAAGCUAGAAAAUGUCUAUAACACUCAGUGGUACACGUUACUAUGAUAAAAAUAAUCAACAAUAUUUGAUGGAAACAAAAUAAAUGGUGAUUUAACAGGAAAAUAAUGGUAACACUGCUGCCAGUUGUUUCCUGUUAAAAAACAUUACGGGGAGUGCACUGUAAAAAAACAUUAACAUGAAUUAACUGUUAAAAAACAUUAUGGGGAGUGCACUGUAAAAAAACAUUAACAUGAAUUAACUGUUAAAAAACAUUACGGGGAGUGCACUGUAAAAAAACAUUAACAUGAAUUAACUGUUAAAAUAACAGGAAAAUAAUGGUAACCCUGCUGCCAGUAAUUUCCUGUUUUUUAACAGGGAAAUAUUUAACAGUGUAGUUAUGA